rnacentral:tRNA from 3 species
GCCCGGAUGGUGGAAUCGGUAGACACAAGGGAUUUAAAAUCCCUCGGCGUCCGCGCUGUGCGGGUUCAAGUCCCGCUCCGGGUACCA